rnacentral:rRNA from 1 species
CAGUCAUGCUAGUGAGGAAUCAACUUGAUGGUGUGUGGGUUCGCUCGCAUACUUUCCGGUGCACUUCCUCACUCGGCAGGUUAGCAUCAAUUUCGGUUAUCAUAUAAAAUGACUGGAGGAAUGUAGCUUCGAUCUCGUAUUGAAGUGUUAUAGCCUUUGGUAGAUGUAACGGAU